UAUAAAGCGUAUUAUAUACAUCUGCACCAACCGUGUUGUUGUGUUCCAAAUAUUGUCCUGUUUCAACUCUGAUCUCUUUCUUCUCUCCAUUUCAGACAUAGUCCUGCUCUAAGCUAUUCACCACCGAGUCCCCAUCUCAACCAGUCCCUGUAUUCCGGCUCCCUGCGAGAUGGUGACCACCACACAAAACGAAAAGAAAAUCCAGAGACAAAAAAAUCUGCAACUACAAAAGACAGACCCAAAAAAUCCUCUUUAAGCAUGUCAAAUGAGAAACCAGCUGAAUGUACUGACACAUCGAAUGAUAAAGAAUCCGGCAUCAUCAAAAAACGAAAGUCUCACCUGACACCUACCAGUGCCAAACUGUAUGAGUGGACCGAUUCCCCAGAUGAUGAAUGUACUUCUCUUAGCCCGUAUGUAAAAAAUCUUUAAUUUACACACACACACUUAUUC